rnacentral:rRNA from 1 species
UACAGAGGUGGCAAGCGUUGUUCGGAAUUACUGGGCGUAAAGGGCGCGUAGGCGGUCUUGUAAGUCUCGUGUGAAAUCCCUCGGCUUAACUGAGGAACUGCACGGGAUACUGCAUGACUUGAGAUCGGGAGAGGGAAGCGGAAUUCCGGGUGUAGCGGUGAAAUGCGUAGAUAUCCGGAGGAACACCAGUGGCGAAGGCGGCUUCCUGGACCGACACUGACGCUGAGGCGCGAAAGCGUGGGUAGCAAACAGG